ACGUAGGGGGCAAGCGUUGUCCGGAAUUAUUGGGCGUAAAGAGUACGUAGGCGGUCUGGUAAGCGCAAGGUGAAAGGCAUAGGCUCAACCAAUGUCAGCCUUGCGAACUGUCAGACUUGAGUGCAGGAGGGGAAAGUGGAAUUCCUAGUGUAGCGGUGAAAUGCGUAGAUAUUAGGAGGAACACCAGUGGCGAAGGCGACUUUCUGGACUGUAACUGACGCUGAGGUACGAAAGCGUGGGGAGCAAACAG
rnacentral:rRNA from 1 species